AAAAUACAAACACCAUCUAAGAUUGAUAAUACCAUAUCCGCAGAAAUUCCGGAUAAAGAUAUUGACCCUCUUACUUUUAGUGCAGUUGAACGAUUUAUGAUACAUGGACCAUGUGGUAUUUUAAAUAAAAAAUCUCCAUGUAUGGUUAAUGGAAAAUGUGGGAAGCACUAUCCAAAGAGAUUUCAUGAUAAAACAUCAAUAGAUGAAGAUGGGUUCCCUAUAUAUAUGCGACGAAAUGGUGGUCGAUAUAUCUUGAAGAAUGGUAGCCAACUUGAUAGUCGGUAUGUGGUCCCAUACAAUAGACAUCUUUUGAUAAAAUAUGAUGCCCAUAUUAAUGUUGAGCUUUGCAAUCGUUCUAGAUCAAUUAAAUAUCUUUUCAAAUAUAUCAACAAAGGUCCUGAUCAAGUUAGAGCAGUCAUCUCUAAUGUAGAAAACUGAUAACAGUUCAACAAGUUCAAUGCACUUUCGUGAUGAAAUUAAAGAGUAUCUUGAUUGUAGAUAUAUUUCUCCAUCAGAGGCUUCGUGGAGAAUUUUCAAGUUUAAUAUGUUUUUUAGAGAACCAGCAGUCGAACACCUUUCCUUUCACCUCCAUGGGCAACAAACAAUAUAUUUUCCAGAAUCUAUGCGUAUUUCUACCAUUUUAAAUAGAGAAGGAAUUGAAACCACGAUGUUCACAGAGUGGAUGAAAAUGAACUCUGUAGACAUGGAAGCUCGACAACUAACAUAUGCAGAACUUCCUACUAAAUAUGUUUGGAACAAGACUAGCAAAAAGUGGACCAGACGGAAAAAUGGAAGGUGUGUUGGAAGAAUAUAUUAUGUUCCUCCCACAAGUGGAGAAAAAUUGUAUUUACGAAUGCUCUUAAACAAAGUACGAGGCAGUCGAUCAUUCGAAUAUAUUAAAACUAUUAAUGGGUUUGUACAUCUAACUUAUAAGGACGCGUGUUAUGCACUUGGUUUACUAGAGGAUGAUAAAGAAUUUGAUGAUUGUAUUAAAGAAGCAGCGGCAUGGGGUACUGGAAUUCAACUACGCCAGCUGUUCUCAACAAUUUUACUGAAUUGUACUGUUAUUAAUCCAGGUUUGCUUUGGGAAUCUAAUUCGAAGUUACUUUCUGAAGAUAUUUUAUAAAGGCAACGCCGACUACUAAAUUUCCCCGACCUCCAUUUGUCAGAUGACCAAUUAAAAAUCUAUGCGCUUUCAGAGAUACAAAAACAUCUUAGAAAGGCCGGCAAGUCUUUGGAAGAUUACAAAGGAAUAGCCAUUCCCAAUAGCAAUGUAAUUGAGGAACUGAACAACCGUCUUAUUACGGAGGAGCUAAAUUAUGACAUGUUAAAAAUGCAUGAAGAAUACUCUCAGUUGCUACACGGUCUUAAUUCAGAUCAAAAGGCAAUUCAUGAUUUUGUGCUUCAAUCAAUUACUUGAACUUUGGAAAGUUAUUCUUUGUGUAUGGUUCUGGUGGAACGGGAAAAACUUACCUUUGGUGAACACUACUUGCAAAAUUAAGAUCGGAAGGUAAGAUUGCUCUAGUUGUUGCAACUUCUGGCAUUGCUGCUCUAUUACUACCGGGUGGCCGAACUGCACAUUCUAGAUUUCAAUUACCUUUGAAUCCAAAUGAGGCUUCAACAUGUUCAAUCAAUAAAGGCACACAUCUUGCUGAAUUAAUUAUGCAAACAUCUUUAAUUAUUUGGGAUGAGGCACCGAUGGCCAACAAAUAUUGCUUUGAGGCAGUAGAUCGAUCACUUCGUGAUAUUAUGAAAGGAAUCAAAGAAGACUACGGUUUGAAACCAUUUGGUGGAAUAACUAUUGUAUUGGGUGGUGACUUUCGUCAGAUUUUACCUGUAGUUCGAAAAGGUGAUAGGCAUGAUAUGAUCCAAGCUUGCAUAAAAAAUUCAUAUCUUUGGAAUUCAUGUGAGGUUCAUUUGCUACGUCAAAAUAUGCGUCUACAAUCAAAUGAGUUAGACUCAAUCUCAAAAGAUGCAAUGCAAAACUUCGCAGAUUGGAUACUUGACGUAUGUGAUGGAAAACAAUGCGCAGAUAUCGGAGAAUCAUGGAUAUCAAUAGAACAAAACUUGAUGCUCCCAAAAUCACAUGAUGAUUUUCAAUCUAUAGUUGACGCUAUUUAUCCAAAUUUAAAUAGCCACAUUGGGGACGCAGAUUACCUUGUGUCGCGGGCUAUCUUGACACCUACAAAUGAAAUAGUUGACGAUAUAAAUCAACGCAUUUUGAAUAAUUUCACAGGCGAAGAAAUGAUAUAUUUAUCAUCAGACUCAAUUUGUAAGGCAGAUUUCAAUAUUCAAGAUCAAGAUCUUCUUUACCCUACUGAGUUUUUGAAUACACUCAAAUUUUUGGGUUUGCCAUCACAUAUUUUAAGGCUUAAAAAAGGAGCAGUAGUUAUGUUAAUGAGAAAUUUGAAUCAAGGAGCUGGGCUAUGUAAUGGUACAAGAAUGAAAAUUACACAACUUGGAAAAUGGUUUGUGGAAGGAGAGGUGUUGAGUGGAUCUAUCAUUGGAGAUAAAGUUCUCAUUCCAAGAAUAUCUUUGUCGCCUUCAGAAUCCAAUUGGCCUUUUAUUCUUAAUCGAAGACAGUAUCCUAUAUCAUUAUGUUUUGCCAUGACAAUAAAUAAAAGUCAAGGACAAUCGUUGCAGCACGUUGGAUUAUAUUUGCCUAAACAAGUAUUUACUCAUGGACAAUUGUAUGUCGCCAUCUCGAGAGUAACCAAUCGAAAUGGAUUACAUAUUCUUAGUAACGGCGAUGAGAAGCCCAGUGAAAACAAGGUCUUAAAUAUUGUGUACAAAGAGAUUCUUUAGUUGUUUGUUUACAUGAUUGUGCAGAAUUCUAAGACAAAAUGGGAAUGUUAUGUACACUGCAAAAAACAGACUGCCCUUAAACGUCAACAUGGUGGAAUGCUUGCAGCCUACUUCAUUCUUGAGGUUUUCGCUAGGGAUGGGGUGUCGUUUUCGACAACUUGUGAAAAUCUUCUCCCUGGACCUUGGAUAAUUGAUGACCUUGAUACUUUAAAAUUAAAAUGGAGCAACAACUCCUGGAAGAAGGUUAUCAUAUUUGUUGAUAACUCUGGUGGAGAUAUUAUUUUGGGUAUUUUGCCGGUCUGGAAAUUGGAAUCUCAUUGCCAUAACAAAGUUAUUUCAUAAAAUCCUUAUAGCACUCAGCUUCACAAAAACUAUUAUUCUCAUUUCAAACUAAAUACUAGGAUCUGAUUGUUUAGCCGAUGCCUUGCAAUCAGAUGAUUUUGAUGUUUUCUCACGAACCAGUGGCAACUUUGCCACAGUAUCCUGUAACUAUGCACCCUUAAAUGAAAAUUUGUAAAAUGACAGGAGUAGAGCAAACUAAAAAUAUAGCUUUGUAUACAUGUUUAACAAAUAUAGUCUGUUGGUAAUACAUUCUUUCUUUCCACCAAUAAAUUUUUGUAUCACUUUCUUUUUU